AUGUUCAAGAUGAACAAACACAGUCCUGCUGCAUUUUGGUCCUCCUUCACCAUCGAUAACCGUGACAGAAUCUCCCAACACAAAAGGACCAAGCAGCAGAGGAAGGAGCAACAGGUGGACUGGAAGGAGCAACAGGUGGACUGGAAGGAGCAGAGGGAAUUUGAAUUGGACAAACGGGAGAAAUGGACAUGGGAGCAAGUUAUGGCCGGAGAGGGCCCAUGGAAGAAAUGGAACAAAGACCGGGAAUGCUACCGAGGAACACGACUGGCGAUUAAACCCGAGAGGCAGCCCCAAUACAUUUUUUGGGGGGGGCAUAUGGGUAGUUUGGCGGGGCAAGUUUGGAGCCCCAGGCCAAAUCCCCGGACUGUUUCACAGAAGCCAGUUAAUGGACAGGUCUCGUGCUUCGGGGUAAUGAGUAUUACGGCAAGGCCAAGUGUUUUUAGGCCAGUACGCGCUAUACCAGCGCCCCACAUUUACCAGGGGGUAGUGGGCAUUCAGCCAGAAACGAUGCCAGGUUUAAGCUCGAGACCGCCAGUAAGCCUCCAAGGUCCUAUAUAUCCUGUUCCCACUCCACGCACUAGCCUAGAGGUGCGUGUUCCCAGUCUGGCACGUCCAGUACCAGCACCACGCACCAGGUUUCAAGUGCGCCAGCCCAGUCCAACUCGUCCUGUUCCCGCUCCCCGCAUUAGCCUGGAAGUGCGUGUUCCCAGUCUGGCACGUCGAGUACCAGCACCACGCACCAGGUUUCAAGUGCGUCAGCCCAGUCCGACUCGUCCUGUUCCCGCUCCCCGCACUAGCCUGGAGGUGCGUGUUCCCAGGCUGAUAACCCCAGUACCAGCACCACGCACCAGGCUUCCAGUGCGUCGGCUCAGUCAGAAGUCGCCAGAGCUGCCCGUCAGUCAGGAGUCGCCAGAGCCGCCCGUCAGUCAGGAGUCGCCAGAGCCGCCCGUCAGUCAGGAGUCGCCAGAGCCGCCCGUCAGUCAGGAGUCGCCAGAGCCGCCCGUCAGUCAGGAGUCGCCAGAGCCGCCCGUCAGUCAGGAGUCGCCAGAGCCGUCAGUCAGGAGUCGCCAGAGCCGUCAGUCAGGAGUCGCCAGAGUUGCCCGUCAGUCAGGAGCUGCCAGAAUGGCCCGAAUGCCCGGAGAUGCCAGAGUGGCCCGACUGCCCGGAUUGCCAGAGUGGCCCGACUGCCCGGAGAUGCCAGAGUGGCCCGACUGCCCGGAGAUGCCAGAGUGGCCUGACUGCCCGGAGAUGCCAGAGUGGCCCGACUGCCCGGAGAUGCCAGAGUGGCCCGACUGCCCGGAGAUGCCAGAGUGGCCCGACUGCCCGGAGAUGCCAGAGUGGCCCGACUGCCCGGAUCAGCCAGAGUGGCCUGUCGGCCAGGAUCAGCCAGAGUGGCCCAUCUGCCCAGAGUCUGCUGAUGACUAA
rnacentral:lncRNA from 8 species